GAUGAACGCUGGCGGCGUGCCUAAUACAUGCAAGUCGAACGCUGAAGGAAGGAGCUUGCUCUUUCCGGAUGAGUUGCGAACGGGUGAGUAACGCGUAGGUAACCUGCCUGGUAGCGGGGGAUAACUAUUGGAAACGAUAGCUAAUACCGCAUAACAGUAGAUGUUGCAUGAUAUCUACUUAAAAGGUGCAAUUGCACCACUACCAGAUGGACCUGCGUUGUAUUAGCUAGUUGGUGAGGUAACGGCUCACCAAGGCGACGAUACAUAGCCGACCUGAGAGGGUGAUCGGCCACACUGGGACGGAGACACGGCCCAGACUCCUACGGGAGGCAGCAGUAGGGAAUCUUCGGCAAUGGACGGAAGUCUGACCGAGCAACGCCGCGGGAGUGAAGAAGGUUUUCGGAUCGUAAAGCUCUGUUGUAAGAGAAGAACGAGUGUGAGAGUGGAAAGUUCACACUGUGACGGUAUCUUACCAGAAAGGGACGGCUAACUACGUG
rnacentral:rRNA from 1 species